AUCCGGCUGACGAGUUCCAAAUAAGACGAAUCGCGCUUCCUGGAU
rnacentral:hammerhead_ribozyme from 1 species